CAAGAGUUUUCAGCUGUAGUACAACAUUUGCGAUGUUACAUCCUUCAAUCUCAGGAAUAUUAGAUUCUGCCGGGUUAGGAAACUCAUAACUAAAGGCACUUCGCUGGACCCUCCUAUCCAGCACGGCCACUGAUGGUACAAUAAACGGACAAGAGAAAGUAGACAAGAAUUAUAUUUUUUACAGAAAGGUUUAAGCUUUAUCUAUACAAAAUGGUAAAGGAAAGAAGACACAAAAUCAAAGAAACGUUCCAACUAGCUUAACUCGAUAUUUCUGUAUAAAAUGUAUUACGAAAAUAACUCAAUUAAUUUAAUGUGCUUGGAUAUAAAUAAAAGGAAAAACAAUGUUGGCCUGAGAUAAAUCAAAGGAAAGCAUGGGGCCAGAGAUAAAUCAAAGGAAAGUGUGGGGCCUGACAUAGCGAUCAUGAUUCCCUUUACUCCUCACGCUAUGGACGUCCUUCCCAUGACUUCUGCCUUGUAUAUUGCCUAGACCUAACGACCUCUCGAUCAGGAUCCCAAAUAAGCAAAGGGUUUUGCACCAUAGGGUUUCCCUUCAACCUCCCCUGAAUCCUGCUUUGUGAGCUCGUUGCCGCAUCCUCACACUCCUCCACCGCAAAGGUCUCCUCCGCCGCGAAGGCCUCCACCUUACCGCACACAUCUGCUGACGGUGACCUACCAUCGUCCUCCAUGUCCGCGCCACAAUCCUCGGUGGCCUGUAUGGAUCAAUCUACAAUAAUCAUGGUAAUGGUAUCUCUCUGCAAUUUCAUCCUAUUCAUGAUUUCACAUCUGCAAAACAACAUAGUCACCAGAGGGGAUCCAACUAAGUAAAACAACAUGAUCUAUGUGACCCUACAAAAUUACCAACAUGCUCUGUGUGACUUAGGAAAUUCUUAUUAUUGCAACAUCCAGAUGAUCUAUGUGACCCUACAAAAUUACCAACAUGCUUUGUGUGACUUAGGAAAUCCUUAUUAUUGCAACAUCCAGAUGAUUAGUCACGCAAGUGAAUCUCAAAGGGUUGACUGGAUAAUUGAACAAAGAAAUAGAUCAUUAUAAUUUAGGUGGAAACAAUAUUCUGGUAGCACUAUGUUACAGAUAUCUGCAUCCAGUUGUGAUGUACUCCCUCCGUUCCAAAAUAGAUGACCCAAAUUUGUACUAACUUUAGUACAAAGUUGGGUCAUCUAUUUUGGAACGGAGGGAGUACAAAACAUAGGGUCUAAUGGUAAGAGCAGAUCAGAAAGUGUGGUUUCCACACACAAAUAGGAGUGCUUAUUUACCACAUUAGCUCUGCCAUCAAUUCAUUCACCAAUUUAGCCCGAGUAACCAUUGAACAUGAAACAAUGGCAAAAUUAUGUCAGAUGGAUAUCUAUUCCAGAAUAGAAUUUAACUUGCCUGGCCGUGCGGUGCCACUCAUAUCGGGACUAUACUAACCCUCUGAAUAUAACACAACUUCAGUUCAGUAAACAACGCCAUUGUGUAAUCAGAACAUCCGCAAAUCCAUAGAAUCUGUAGGUGCGUGAUAUAUAUGUAUUUAACAGAAUAUCAUACCACCACCAGCAUACGAUUUAUAUAUGCUUGGGUUUUCAGGAACUCAUUGACAAGGGAGCCAAGGACGAGCAUACACAAAAUAUUCAGAUUGAAGGCAUGAUAAUCAGAGAUGAGGAUAUGAACACCGAGUUAACAAAGGCAAUAGAAGAACAAACCAUCAAGGAUGAUACAGAAAAUAUGGAGAUUGAUCAAGUGAUACUCUAAGUCGACAAAGGCGGUUUUUAUUUUCACAUGUCAUUAUUAUUUUUAUUCUGGUGGGAUAAAACAAUAUGUAAUUUCUAGUAUAAUAAUAUCAUGACUACAAUUCUUUACUCACCUUGAUAAUAUUUUCUGGUUUAUAAUUACUGGAUAAUAUUGUAUUAUUGUGUGUUUCAGUUAGUAAGCGAGGAAGAAUCAAAUGGAAUAGACAACAAAGAUGGAGUAGAGAAAGAUAAUAGCACACAAGCUACUGAUUGUGAAGUGACAAAGGCAUGCUUUCUUUUCGGGUAUCCCAAAUAGUUCUAAUUCUAAUUAUUUUAUAUCCUCCAUGCAAAUUAUUCUUUGUAAUGUUCCUCUCAGGAAUUAACCUUCAAGGAAACAAGUGAACAAAUGCAGCCAACUCAAGACGAUGAAUUAGCACAAAGAUUCGACAACAAAGGGGGAGAAAACAUAGGGGACAAGCUGGCAGAAUCAAAUGGAAUAGCCGACAAAGAUGAAGUGCACAAAAUGAAGAGCUCAUGGUUCACUGAAUUCGAGGUGACACAGGCAUAUAUAUUUUUUCAACUAUGUCCCAAAUAGUUCUAAUUCUAACAAUAUUAUAUCUUGUAAUGUUGCUCUCAGGAAUUAAUCUUCAACGAAACAAGUGAACAAAUGAAGCCAGCUCAGGAUGAGGAAUUAGCACAAACAUUCGGCACCGAAGGGGCAGAAACUAUAGGGGAGGCGAUGCCAGAAUCAAAUGGAAUAGCUGACAAAGAAGAAGUGGAGAAAAGGCUUAUCAUGCAGUCCACUGAUUCUGAAGUCUCCAAAGUGAUAGAGGCAUCAGAGGACAAAGAAUUAGCACACACAUCCGGCAUGAAAGGGGCACAAACAGGGAAGCCUAUCCCUAUCCGAAUGCAUAACAAACCUAAGAAGGCACAAGACCACAUGGUGGCUCCAGAAGGCAUGAAAAAAUCCUUCUAUUCCCUACUUUUGCUACACUAAUUUUCUUCAUUAUUAGUAAUUCUUCUUGCUUACAUCAUGAUAGAUUACGCCUGCACCGGUGAUGAUUGGUCCGUGAUUGAAAAUAUCAUGUCUGAACCAAGCGAUAAAAGAAAUUUAGUGAGCAUCAACGACUCAUAUCUAAAAAAACAGUUACUACAUCUUUUAACCGCCGAAGAAUUUGUUGGCGACGAAGUAAGUAUAUGUAGCUUUAUGACAAGACGAUGCUAUUUUAACAUAAGUUCCUAUAUCUCUUAUGACCAAGGUGUGCACUUGAUAUUGUAGAUCAUAGACGCAUACAUACAUUGCAUAAGUGCUAAAGAGCAUCUACAGAUGAGGUCAGGUGGAAGUGUGUUCUUAGAGAAUGCAUGCAUCUCAAAGAUGAUAAAGGAAUUUAACUCUAUACGGAAUGACGUACCAAGAUGAGUGUUAAAGAGAGCUACAACUUAUUUAGAACAUGAUAUGGUGAUCUUAGUUCCGUACAUAUUACUAUGAUGAAUUCAAUCGAGGACGGAUGUUUGUGUAGAUGAGACCUAAACUAACAAAUCCAUUUUUUCAGAUAUUCAUUCCAGUAAACAUUGAACACUUUCAUUGGUACCUAGCAGUUAUAAAUACCAGGGUGAAACGUACCCAUGUGCUCGACUCGCUAGGCCUAGGAAUGCCCCGCGAAGACCUUACCGCUAUGGUUAGUUAUUAGUCCCACUGCACCAUCUUUUGAUAAGACAAUUUCUGUCAUUCUUUGCUUCUGAUGCUAAUACUUGGUCAUUUAUUCAUGUAAUAGCUGGAAUGACUGAACAAUAUGUUCCAAUAUGCAUCGCUUCAAAUGGAACUAAAAUUGGAUAAGUGGAAAGACGUAAACAUCACAACAUGGCCAAGGGAGGAGUGUCUUCAUAUCAAACUACAGACAUAUGGGUAUACCUCUUUUGAUUGAAACUUGUUGCUCUCAUCCCCUUUAGGCACCUCCUUGUUCUCCUUUAGGAUAUCUGAAUUAUUAAGG
rnacentral:lncRNA from 1 species